GGAGAGGUGGCCGAGCGGUUUAAGGCGGUGGUCUUGAAAACCACUGUGGCGUUCCGCGCCACCGUGGGUUCGAAUCCCACCCUCUCCG
rnacentral:tRNA from 1 species